GCCCUGGUGGUGUAAUGGUAGCCACGCUGGUCUUAGAAGCCAGUGCUUAAUAGCGUGCGAGUUCGAGUCUCGCCUAGGGCACCA
rnacentral:tRNA from 1 species